GCGAAGGGGGCAGGCCAGGGAGAGGCGCAGGAGCCUUUGCAGCCACGCGCGCGCCUUCCCUGUCUUGUGUGUUUCGCGAGGUAGAGCGGGCGCGCGGCAGCGGCGGGGAUUACUUUGCUGCUAGUUUCGGUUCGCGGCAGCGGCGGGUGUAGUCUCGGCGGCAGCGGCGGAGACACUAGCACUAUGUCGGAGGAGCAGUUCGGCGGGGACGGGGCGGCGGCGGCAGCAACGGCGGCGGUAGGCGGCUCGGCGGGCGAGCAGGAGGGAGCCAUGGUGGCGCCGGCACAGGGGGCAGCGGCGGCGGCGGGAAGCGGAGCCGGGACCGGAGGCGGAACCGCGUCUGGGGGCACCGAAGGGGGCAGCGCUGAGUCGGAGGGGGCGAAGAUCGACGCCAGUAAGAACGAGGAAGAUGAAGGCCAUUCAAACUCCUCCCCACGACACACUGAAGCAGCGACGGCACAGCGGGAAGAAUGGAAAAUGUUUAUAGGAGGCCUUAGCUGGGACACUACAAAGAAAGAUCUGAAGGACUACUUUUCCAAAUUUGGUGAAGUUGUAGACUGCACUCUGAAGUUAGAUCCUAUCACAGGGCGAUCAAGGGGUUUUGGCUUUGUGCUAUUUAAAGAAUCGGAGAGUGUAGAUAAGGUUAUGGAUCAGAAAGAACAUAAAUUGAAUGGGAAGGUGAUUGAUCCUAAAAGGGCCAAAGCCAUGAAAACAAAAGAGCCGGUUAAAAAAAUUUUUGUUGGUGGCCUUUCUCCAGAUACACCUGAAGAGAAAAUAAGGGAGUACUUUGGUGGUUUUGGUGAGGUGGAAUCCAUAGAGCUCCCCAUGGACAACAAGACCAAUAAGAGGCGUGGCUUCUGCUUUAUUACCUUUAAGGAAGAAGAACCAGUGAAGAAGAUAAUGGAAAAGAAAUACCACAAUGUUGGUCUUAGUAAAUGUGAAAUAAAAGUAGCCAUGUCGAAGGAACAGUAUCAGCAACAGCAACAGUGGGGAUCUAGAGGAGGAUUUGCAGGAAGAGCUCGUGGAAGAGGUGGUGGCCCCAGUCAAAACUGGAACCAGGGAUAUAGUAACUAUUGGAAUCAAGGCUAUGGCAACUAUGGAUAUAACAGCCAAGGUUACGGUGGUUAUGGAGGAUAUGACUACACUGGUUACAACAACUACUAUGGAUAUGGUGAUUAUAGCAACCAGCAGAGUGGUUAUGGGAAGGUAUCCAGGCGAGGUGGUCAUCAAAAUAGCUACAAACCAUACUAAAUUAUUCCAUUUGCAACUUAUCCCCAACAGCGGGAACUUCAUUGCAGGCCCUGUGUCGCGCUGACUUCACGAUUCUCACAGGCCCGCUCAAUGCGGACAGGGUACGAGAUGCUCACGCUCUCGAAUGCUGCCGUUUGGUGGUGAAGCAGUAUUUUCCAAUUUGAAGAUUCAUUUGAAGGUGGCUCCUGCCACCUGCUAAUAGCAGUUCAAACUAAAUUUUUUGUAUCAAGUCCCCGAAUGGAAGUAUGACGUUGGGUCCCUCUGAAGUUUAAUUCUGAGUUCUCAUUAAAAGAAAUUUGCUUUCAUUGUUUUAUUUCUUAAUUGCUAUGCUUCAGAAUCAAUUUGUGUUUUAUGCCCUCCCCCCAGUAUUGUAGAGCAAGUCUUGUGUUAAAAGCCCAGUGUGACAGUGUCAUGAUGUAGUAGUGUCUUACUGGUUUUUUAAUAAAUCCUUUUGUAUAAAAA